rnacentral:rRNA from 1 species
AAUAUUGGUCAAUGGGUGGAAGCCUGAACCAGCCAUCCCGCGUGUAUGAUGAAGGCCNNNGGGUUNUUAAGUACUUUUGGCAGNGACNAAAAGGUAACCCCUAAUACGGGAUACUGCUGACGGUAUCUGCAGAAUAAGCACCGGCUAACUACGUGCCAGCAGCCGCGGUAAUACGUAGGGUGCACGCGUUAAUCGGAAUUACUGGGUGUAAAGCGUGUGUAGGCGGUUCGGAAAGAAAGAUGUGAAAUCCCAGGGCUCAACCUUGGAACUGCAUUUUUAACUGCCGAGCUAGAGUAUGUCAGAGGGAGAUAGAAUUCCACGUGUAGCAGUGAAAUGCGUAGAUAUGUGGAGGAAUACCGAUGGCGAAGGCAGCCCCCUGGGAUAAUACUGACGCUCAGACACGAAAGCGUGGGGAGCAAACAGG